UACGAAGGGGGCGAGCGUUGUUCGGAUUUACUGGGCGUAAGGGGCGCGCAGGCGGCUUAUUUUGUCAGGCGUGAAAGCCCCGGGCUUAACCUGGGAACUGCGUUUGAUACGGAUGGGCUGGAGUUCGGGAGAGGAGCGUGGAAUUCCCAGUGUAGAGGUGAAAUUCGUAGAUAUUGGGAAGAACACCGGUGGCGAAGGCGGCGCUCUGGACCGAGACUGACGCUGAGGCGCGAAAGCGUGGGGAGCAAACAGG
rnacentral:rRNA from 1 species